rnacentral:lncRNA from 10 species
UCCUGCCCCACCGUGAUUGAGAGCAGACCCUUAACUCUCCCAGGACAACUGCUCUGGUUGUGUUGACUUCACAUUCUGGCAUCUGAGGCCGCUCGGAAGGCGUGGGACACAGACCACCACAGCGCAAUGAGGACUGAAUGGGGUCCAUGGUCUUGAGAAAUAAACACCCUCAGGAAAAAAAAAAAAACUCAGAAGGAAGGUCCUCUCAGAUGAGAAGGGGUAAAAGUCCUUCUCCCUCCACAUGGAUCCACAUCCCAGAGACUCUAGCCUGGCUUGGGAAAGCUCCCACAAGAGAGGCCAGCCCACACAGGUCAGCAAGGUCACUGACCCAGUGGAAGGAGGAACACCAGAUCUGCCACCUUUAAGAGCUAUAACACCUUUAAGAGCUAUAACACUCACUGCCAAGGUCUGCAGCUUCACUCUUGAAGUCAGCAACACCAGGAACUCACCAGAAGGAGAAAACUCUGGACACACCUGAGCAUCUGAAAGAAUGAACUGGGGACAUGAAACUUUAAAAACUGUAACACUCACCGUGAGGGGCCAUGGCUUCAUUCUUAAAAGUCAGUGAGAGCAAGUACCACACUACUUCUAGACACGCUAAGAUCCUUCCCCUUGGGCUCUGUGCAAAACCUUGGAAAUGUCACGUUUAAAUAUUUCAAUGUGGUCUCUUGUGUGGAGGUGGGAUACUGGACAUGGAGGGAGAGCUGGGUUUCCAUCUUUCAGCUUCAGGAAUUGAAGGAAAAGAGGGUGUGCAUCUGAGCAAAGUGGGAACAAGCAGCACCACUUGCUCGGACAACCUUAUGACUCAGGAGGGCACGUGAGCACAUAACACACUGCAGUCUCUCUUAAGGGAGGCUUUCCAGCGCCUCCAGCCACAGUGGAGGUUCCGUUCCUCUCCCAGAAGCCCAUGAAGGUUUCUGCCAGACCCCCAAAAGCAGACAGGACCCUCACGUGUGGGGUGGGGUGUACAUGGAGCAGGCAGCAUUACUGCAAGAUGUGGACAGGAUUCUUUUUCAAUUUCAGGUAAAGGUGGGGUUCCAGGAGCACUGCAGAAUGGGCCCUCACGGCAGUGUCAGGGAAGAUUCGUCUCAAAAGAUGUUGCCUGGGUGGUAACAAAGGCCUGGCCAGGGACAGGCUGGGGCCUGCAACUGGGUCAUCUGUCCUAUCCUAGCCUGAGAACAGGACCAAUUUAGUGCCCGUCAGAGUUUGCCUUAGAACGGAGAUGGGGCCGCAGGUGAAGGCGGAGCGGCAGGUAGUAUUCCUCUGGCUUUCCAGCUGAGGAAAGCUCUGUCUCAGGUCUGGGGAACUGUCCGCGGUUGUCGUUUUCCAGGGUUGGUAUGUCC